GUAAAUUGUUGGCUAAGAGUAGAUGUUGUAACCACUUAAAUGCCAAAUCAAAAAGUCUAUUUUUAAAGGGCAGUUUAUCCUUUCUGUAUCUUAUUCCUAAUACCCAUAAUAGUAAUAGUAAUUUGGAAAUUUCUCCCCGUUGGAUUUUGCUCAAGUUGUUACUACUCAAGUUUAAUUUCUUUUUCUUUUUGGUGAUAUCCAUACCAAGCACUCUUGCUUCAGAAAAGGCUCUAAGCUUUGGCUGGAGCAACUUGAGCCUUGCUUUCUGCCAUGCACACUGGGAUGCACAACUCACAAUGAUUUCCAGAUCUAUCAGUUCCCUUCCUGUCUAGGACACUGCAUUGCCACAUGACCUUUGCCAAGUCACUUCUUUCUGCUCUGCCAUAACAUAAGGUUGUAAUUAUGAUGAUCUCCCUCUUAGAAAUGUGAUGAGAAGCUAUUCAUAACAAAGACUGUAAAAAUUGCAAACAUGAUGAGACAGGCAGAUAUUAAAUGUAUGAAAAUGAUCUAAAUUGAAUAUUUACUUCCUGCCUGGCUCCACCUGUCCUUAAAAUGUAUCCAUAAAGACAACAGUAGCAAGAGUGCCUGAUUAAGCCCUCCUGUUAAUGCUAUCCACUUAGAAUAUACUUUUCUGAUCCCAAAUAAGGCCUGGAUUUUCAGGCAAAUGAUAUUUGUGUGUGUAAGUUAUCUUUUCAUUGUUCUCUCAUCAGACACAAGGUCUUUCUUUAUUCUUUCCCAAGAAAACUGAGAUCACUUCGUUGGUUUUAAAUUGGCAAUGUGAUCUUGUUCAAUGCUAGACACAUGACAUGUUCUAGUAGCCGUCUGGACCUGGGUCUGGGAUCAUAUUCCCCUCUAUCCCCAAUACAUGUGCCAAACACUUGUGAGCACACUGGAGGCAGAAGGCUUAAAGAGGUGAGAUCAGGCCAGGCUGGCAUCCAUUCUGUAGGAUUCAGGGACAGAGUCAAACUUCAAAGUGGUGCAGGAGUGACUGGCAAGGCACCAGAGUGUUCAUGAAAUCCCACAAGCCAGAAGAGAGGGGGGACCAAUAUUCACCAUUCUUAAAGAAAAGAAUUUUCAACCCAGAAUUUCAUAUCCAGCCAAACUAAGCUUCAUAAGUGAAGGAGAAAUAAAAUCCUUUAUGGAUAAGCAAAAGCUACGGGAUUUUGUCACCACCAGGCCUGCCUUGCAAGAGCUCCUAAAGGAAGCACUAAAUAUGAAAAAACAAAAAAACAACAACAAUAACAACAAAAAAACAGUACUGGCCACUGCAAAAACAUACAAAAAUGUAAUGAACAUCAAAAGUAUGAAGAAAUUGCAUCAACUAAUGGGAACAAUAAUCAGUUAGCAACAUAAUAACAGGAUCAAAUUUACACAUAACAAUAUUAAUCUUAAAUGUAAAUGGGUUAAAUGUCCCAAUUAAAAGAUACAGACUAGCAAAUUGGAUAAUGAGUGAAGACUCAUUAGUGUGCUAUAUUCAGAAGACCCAUCUCACAUGCAAAGACAGAUAUUGGCUCAAAAUAAAGGGAUGGAGGAACACUUACCAAGCAUAUGGAAAUUAAAAAAAAGAAGGGUUGCAAUCCUAGUCUCUGAUAAAACAGACUUGAAACCAACAAAGAAAAGGGUAUUACAUAAUGGUAAAGGGAUCAAUGCAACAAGAAGAGCCAAUUAACCUAAAUAUAUAUGCACCCAAUACAGAUGCACCCAGAUUCAUGAAACAAGUUCUUAGAGACCUACAAAGAGACUUAGACUCUUACACAGUAAUAGUGGGAGAUUUUAACAGCCCCCUGUCAAUAAUAGAACAAUGAGACAAAAAAUUAACAGGGAUAUUUAGGACUUGAACUCAGCUCUGGACCAAGUAGACCUAAUACACAUCUACAGAACUCUCCACCCCAGAUCAACAGAAUAUAAAUUCUUCUCAGCACCACAUAUCACUUAUUACAAAAUCGACCACAUAUUGGCAGUAAAAAACUCCUCAGCAAAUGCAAAAACUGGAAAUAAUAAAGGGAGAUAGAUAUACAAAAAUCUCUUCAAAAAAAUCAAUGAAUUCAGGAGCUGAGUUUUUGAAAAGAUAAGCAAAACAGACAAACAACUAGCCAAACUAAUAAAGAGGAAAAGAGAACAAUCAAACAGACACCAUAAAAAUAAUAAAGGAGAUAUCACAGCUGAUCCCACAGAAAUACAAACUACCAUCAGAGAUAUUAUAUAUACCUCUACACAUAUAAACCAGAAUAUCUAGAAGAAACAGAUAAAUUCCUGGACACGUAUACCCUCCUAAGACUAAACCAGAAAUUGAGGCAGCAAUUAAUAGCCUACCAACCAAAUUAAGCCUAGAUCCAGACAGAUUCGCAGCUGAAUUCUACCAGAGGAACAAAGAAAAGCUGGUACCAUUCCUUCUGAAACUAUUCCAAACAAUAGAAAAAAAGAACUCCUCCCUAGCUCAUUUUAUGAGGCCAGCAUCAUCCUGAUAGCAAAUUCUGGCAGAGACACACACAAAAAAAGAAAAUUUCAGGCCAGUAUCCCUGAUGAACAUCAAUGCAAAAAUCUUCAAUAAAAUACUGGCAAACUGAGUCCAGCAGCACAUCAAAAAGCUUAUCCACCACAAUCCAGUCGGCUUCAUAUCUAGGAUGCAAAGCUGGUUCAUCCUCAUAUGUAAAUCAAUAAACAUAAUCCAUCACAUAAACACGACCAAUGACAAAAAAAAUUCCAUAAUUUUCUCAAUAGAUGCAGAAAAGCCUUUGAUAAAUUUCAGUACCUCUUCAUGCUAAAAACACUCAAUAGGUAUUGAUGGAACAUAUCUCUAAAUAAUAAGAGCUGUUUUUGACAAACCCACAGCCAAUAUCAUAUUGAAUGGGCAAAAGCUGGAAGCAUUCCCUUUGAAAACAGGCACAAGCAAGGAUGCUUUCUCUCACCACUCCUAUUCAACACAGUAUUGGAAGUUCUGUCCAGGGCAAUCAGGCAAGAGAAAGAAACAAAAGGUAUUCAAAUAGGAAGAUAGGAAGCCAGUUGUCUCUGCUGCAUAUGACAUGAUUGUAUAUUUAGAAAACCCCUUCGUCUCAGCCCAAAAACUCCUUAAGCUGAUAAGCAACUUCAGCAAAGUCUCAGGAUAGGAAAUCAACGUGCAAAAAUCACAAGCAUUCCUAUACACCAAUAAUAGACAAACAAAGAGCCAAAUCACGAGUGAACACCCAUUCACAACUGCUUCAAAGAGAAUAAAAUACCUAGGAAUACAACUUACAAGGAUGUGAAGAACCUCUUCAAGGAGAACUACAAAUCACUGCUCAAGGAAUUAAGAGAGGACACAAACAAGUGGAAAAACAUUCCAUGCUCAUGGUUAGGAAGAAUCAAGAUUGUGAAAAUGGCCAUACUGCCCAAAGUAAUUUAUAGAUUCAAUGUUAUUCCCAUCAAACUACUAUUGACUUUCUUACAGAAUUAGAAAAAACUACUUUAAAUUUCAUAUGGAAUCCAAAAAAAGAGCCCACAUAGCCAAGACAAUCCUAAGCAAAAAGAACAAAGCUGGAGGCGUCAUACUACAUGACUUCAAACUAUACUACAAGGCUACAGUAACCAGAAUAGCAUGAUACUGGUACCAAAACAGAUAUACAGAUGAAUGGAACAGAACAGAGGCCUCAGAAGUAACACCACAUAUCUACAAUCAUCUGAUCUUUGACAAACCUGACAAAAACAAGCAAUGGGGAAAGGAUUCCCUAUUUAAUAAAUGGUGUUGGGAAACUGGCUAGCCAUAUGCAGAAAACUGAAACUUCCUUAUACUUUAUACAAAAAUUAACUCAAGAUGGAUUAAAGAUCUAAAUGUAAGACAUAAAAUCAUUAAAAUCCGAGAAGAAAACCAAGGAAAUAGCAUUCAGAACAUAGUCCUGGGCAAAGAUUUCAUGACUAAAAAACCAAAAGCAAUUGCAACAAAAGCUAAAAUUGACAAAUGAUAUCUAAUUAAACUAAAGAGCUUCUGCACACCAAAAAAAAAAAAAAAAAAACUUUCAUCAGACUGAACAGGCAAUCUACAGAAUGGGAGAAAAUUUUUGCAAUCUAUUCAUCCAACAAAGGCAUAACAUCCAGAAUCCACAAGGAACUUAACAAAUUCACGCACACACACACACACAAACCCAUCAAAAAGUGGGUGAAGGAUAUGAACAAACACUUUUCAAAAGAAGACAUUUAUGCAGCCAAGAAACAUAUGAAAAAAAAGCUCAUCAUCGCUGGUCAUUAGAGAAAUGCAAAUCAAAAACCACAAUGAGAUACUAUCUCAUGCCAGUUUGAAUGGCGAAUAUUAAAAAAGUCAGUAAACAACAGGUGCUGAAGAGGAUGUGGAGACAUAGGAACUCUUUUACCCUGUUGGUGGGAGUGCAAAUUUGUUCAACCAUUAUGGAAGACAGUGUGACAAUUCCUCAAAGAUCUAGAACUAGAAAUAUUAUUUGACCCAGCAAUCCCAUUACUGGGUAUAUACCCAAAGGAUUAUAAUCUUUCUACUAUAAAGACAAAGGCACGUGUAUGUUUAUUGAAACAUUAUUCCCAAUAGCAAAGACUUGGAACAAACCCAAACGCCCAUUAAUGAUAGACUGGAUAAAGAAAAUGUGGCAUAUAUACACCACGGAAUACUAUGCAGCCAUAAAAAAGAAUGUGUUCAUAUCUUUUGCAGAGACAUAAAUGAAGUUGGAAACCAUCAUUCUCAGCAAACGAACACAGGAACAGAAAACCUAACACUGUAUGUUCUCACUCAUAAGUGGGAGUUGAACAAUGAGAACGUAUGGGCAUAGGGAGGGGAACAUCACACACUGGGGCCUGCUGAGGGCUGUGGGGAAAGGGGAGGGAUAGCAUUAGGAGAAAUACAAAUGCAGAUGACGGGUAAACCACCAUGGCACAUGUAUACCUAUGUAAACACCAUGGCACAUGUAUGCC
rnacentral:lncRNA from 1 species